UACGUAGGGGGCAAGCGUUGUCCGGAUUUAUUGGGCGUAAAGAGCGUGUAGGCGGCUAGGUAGGUCCGUUGUGAAAACUCGAGGCUCAACCUCGAGACGCCGGUGGAAACCAUCUAGCUAGAGUCCGGAAGAGGAGAGUGGAAUUCCUGGUGUAGCGGUGAAAUGCGCAGAUAUCGGGAGGAACACCGGUGGCGAAGGCGGUUCUCUGGGCCUGACCUGACGCUGAGGAGCGAAAGCGUGGGGAGCGAACAGG
rnacentral:rRNA from 1 species